GGAAUACAAGUACUGAGGAAAGUUCCACGGUAUGCACCCGCAAAUAAACUGGUUGGUUCACCCACUAUCUUUUCGGUUACAUGGCAUCAUGAUUUGUGCCAUUGGAAAAUUUGAGACUCUGGUUAUUCAAUGAAAUUAAUUAUAUGGAGUGCAGACAUAAUGCAUUCCAUCUUUUUUUAAUUUAAUUCUGAACAUAUGAUUUUACAGGUACUUUUUUUUUACUAUUUCACUAUAUAUUUUAUAUUGAAAACAAUGUACCAUGCUUCUUUAUUUAUGAGGAUGGGAGAAGAAAAGAGAUAUUAGAGGGUUGUCCUGGACUCUUAGAUGCAGGCAUAACAUUGAACACUUUGUUAUGGAGGAGAAUGAUGAGGCAUGCCAUAAAUGGCCAAUGAAACAUCUAUUACUAGCAAUUUGAUGUUUGUGGAGAUUAACAAUGAGAUUCCUGGCGAUGAUAAAAUGCCCUUUAGAUGAAUAUGCAUUAGAUAUAUGCAAACUUAUAUUAUCAUAUCCAUUCCACUGUAGAAUACCUUUUUUUACCUGAGGCAGGUGGUUUUUCUUCAAAGAGUAGGAUUAUGCAUGAUUCUGUGGAUUCAAAGAAAAUAGAGUGAUCACCAGCAUCUUGUCGGGGAUCCGAGUGGCUCAGUCACCGAAUGUCCAUGUUGUUUAUGCUAUUGUAUGGAUCAGGUCGAGUGGCUCGGUUAAUGGUUGUUAUAUGAAGCUCAGGUUUUUUUUGAGGCAUUUGGAUAUCAUAUGAGAAUAUUCUGAGAGUUAAAACUCCCAUAUACAAAAUUCAUGUAAUCUUAUGGUCGUCAAACUGUAUUUUUGGUACAUAUGUUACCUAUUAGCUGGAACACACUUCACGUGAUGUUGGAAUCUGUCAUUCGUUGUUCAUGCCAAUAACUAAUCAUGGUAUUGUGUUUAGGACACGCUCUCUGGGGAUCAAAGAAUUGCUGAUUUGUAGGCAGGAGGAAAGGAAGCAUUUGGAAAGGGGGAUUGCCCUUGGAACAAUGCAUACUUCUACCAGCUGAGGGAGUACAUGUCUUGGAAGUUGGAACAUGGGAUUUGAGGCGGAGGAUACACUGGCCUGCUAUGACUUAUUUUGCUGAAUGAUAGCUCAUUGGACUAACUGAUGUCGUAUGCUGAAAUCUCCAUAGCAGUAUUUGGGUUGACGUACACCACAUUACACUGCGCUUCAUGGGGUUGACCAGUUAACCGUCUUAUCUGUUGUACAAACACCAAUUUUUGUAUCUUUCUUCAUAUGUUAAAUUAAUGAAAUGGUGAUGAUAUACUCGACA